rnacentral:rRNA from 1 species
CAGCCGCCGCGGUAAUACGAAGGGGGCUAGCGUUGCUCGGAAUGACUGGGCGUAAAGGGCGCGUAGGCGGAUUGUUUAGUUAGGCGUGAAAUUCCUGGGCUUAACCUGGGGACUGCGCUUAAUACAGGCAGUCUAGAGUGAGGAAGAGGGUUGUGGAAUUCCCAGUGUAGAGGUGAAAUUCGUAGAUAUUGGGAAGAACACCGGUGGCGAAGGCGGCAACCUGGUCCAUUACUGACGCUGAGGCGCGACAGCGUGGGGAGCAAACAGGAUUAGAUACCCCCGUAGUCCCUGUCUCUUAUAC